GGAAAAGAAACCAACAGGGAUUACCUCAGUAACGGCGAGUGAAGCGGUAACAGCUCAAAUUUGAAAGCUAGCUCUUUGAGGGUUCGCAUUGUAAUUUGUAGAAGAUGCUUCGGGUGUGGCCCCGGUCUAAGUUCCUUGGAACAGGACGUCAUAGAGGGUGAGAAUCCCGUAUGUGACUGGGUGCUUUCGCUCAUGUGAAGCUCUUUCGACGAGUCGAGUUGUUUGGGAAUGCAGCUCUAAAUGGGUGGUACAUUUCAUCUAAAGCUAAAUAUUGGCCAGAGACCGAUAGCGCACAAGUAGAGUGAUCGAAAGAUGAAAAGCACUUUGGAAAGAGAGUUAAACAGUACGUGAAAUUGUUGAAAGGGAAGCGCUUGCAACCAGACUUGCGCGCUGAUGAUCAUCCGGGCUUCUGCCCGGUGCACUCGUCUGCGCUCAGGCCAGCAUCGGUUUCGGUGGUGGGAUAAAGGCCUUGGGAAUGUAGCUCCUCUCGGGGAGUGUUAUAGCCCUCGGUGCAAUGCCGCCUACCGGGACCGAGGACCGCGCUUCGGCUAGGAUGCUGGCGUAAUGGUUGUAAGCGACCCGUCUUGAAACACGGACCAAGGAGUCUAACAUCUAUGCGAGUGUUUGGGUGUCAAACCCAUACGCGUAAUGAAAGUGAACGGAGGUGAGAACCCUUAAGGGUGCAUCAUCGACCGGUCCUGAUGUCUUCGGAUGGAUCUGAGUAAGAGCAUAGCUGUUGGGACCCGAAAGAUGGUGAACUAUGCGUGAAUAGGGUGAAGCCAGAGGAAACUCUGGUGGAGGCUCGCAGCGGUUCUGACGUGCAAAUCGAUCGUCAAAUUUGCGUAUAGGGGCGAAGACUAAUCGAACCAUCUAGUAGC
rnacentral:rRNA from 1 species